CCUUUUUGGGUUUUGUUCUCUAAGGUUUGGUUUGGAAUAUUGGUGUGGAA
rnacentral:sRNA from 1 species